UGUUGUUCAAGGAGAAACUGAAGAGCAAGAAGGAAAGUGAGAGCCAGCAAUACCAGCAGAGCCAGAUCUGAGCUGGGAGAAGGGGAGAAAGUUUGUGAAGAGGAGGAGCAGAUAAGUGCUGUUGUUUCAUUAUGUGGGGGAGCCGGCAGAUUGUUUAUAAGCUAAAAGGAGUAAACUCAUAAGGAAGAGAAAAUUAUUGAUGUAGGUAACAAAUAGAUACGUGAAUACUUUU
rnacentral:lncRNA from 10 species